AUAUUACUCCCUCCGUCGGAAAUACUUGUCAUCAAAAUGGAUAAAAGAGGAUGUAUCCUAUUUUAGUUCUAGAUACAUCUCUUUUUAUCCAUUUUGACGACAAUUAUUUUCAGACGGAGGGAGUACUUC
rfam:Triticum aestivum genome assembly, contig: Triticum_aestivum_CS42_TGACv1_scaffold_513499_6BS